rnacentral:rRNA from 1 species
AGCGAAUAGAUACCCAGGUAGUCCACGCCGUAAACGAUGGAUACUAGCUGUUCGGAGCAAAUCUGAGUGGCUAAAGCGAAAGUGAUAAGUAUCCCACCUGGGGAGUACGCACGCAAGUGUGAAACUCAAAGGAAUUGACGGGGGCCCGCACAAGCGGUGGAGCAUGUGGUUUAAUUCGAUGAUACGCGAGGAACCUUACCAGGGCUUAAAUGUAGAUUGACAGGACUGGAAACAGUUUUUCUUCGGACAAUUUACAAGGUGCUGCAUGGUUGUCGUCAGCUCGUGCCGUGAGGUGUCGGGUUAAGUCCUAUAACAAGCGCAACCCCUGUCGUUAGUUGCCAGCGAGUCAUGUCGGGAACUCUAACGAGACUGCCAGUGUAAACUGUGGGGAAGUGGGGAUGACGUCAAAUCAUCACGGCCCUUACGUCCUGGGCCACACACGUGCUACAAUGGUAGGUACAGAGAGCAGCCACUGCGCGAGCAGGAGCGAAUCUACAAAA